GCUGGAUUAUGGCAAUAAAUUAGAUUCCCUCUAAUUAUACUGAUUUGAAAGAAACUGGACUGGAACAGGAAAAUGAACACUUUAGAGCAAUUUACAAUUAGGAAUAACACAAAGCAUAGAAAUUUUUAUUAAUCAGAUAAUUUCUAAUGUAUUUUAAUUUUUUUUCCAUUUAAACCCAUAGACAAGAUCUAAUACCAAGAAAUGAUAUUGAUAUUCUAUGCCAAGUUCAUCUCAAUAGUCAACAAAAACUAUUUCUUCCUCUGUAGAAUCUUCCCUGUAUGACACUAUGUGCUAGCCUAGCCAGGUCUGUAUGUGUUGCUCCCCUUGUUCCCCCAAGGAAUGGUGGAAAAUGCUGAGGAACAAGAACACACCCAAUAGACUGGUCAGUUGGUCUUUGUAGAAGUUCAUGCCUUUGGGGUAAGAAUUGAAGAAGGUGGAUGCAGGAUAAAGAAUAGUAGUGCUGGGGUUGGGUUGUAGCUCAGCGGUAGUGCACUCGCCUAGCAUAUGUGAGGCCCUGGGUUCGAUCCUCAGCAACACAUAAAAAUAAAUUUAAAAAUAAAGGUAUUGACAACUACAACUAAAAAGUAAAUAUUAAAAAAAAAAGAAUAGUCGUGCUUUGGGGGAUAG
rnacentral:lncRNA from 1 species